rnacentral:rRNA from 1 species
GUGUGCGAGUCAUUGGGCGCACUAAACCCAGAGGCGAAAUGAAAGUGAAAGGAGAGCUUGCUCUCCGGGGCCGAUCCCCGACCGGCUGUUGCCGCUAGAGCUGCCCAUUCCAAAGCGAGGUUACCCAAAGGGGGUUGGGCGGAGUGAGUCCCUUUCCUCCGUCUGCCUCUGGCCUCGUGGGUUCUCGGCGCGCACGACGGUCCGGCUCCUUCACGGGAGCCGCUCGUACGCGGGAGGGCGCAGGCCCGGGACUUGCCAUUCGACGCCGCGCGCAAAUCUGUUGUUGGCCUCGCCGGCUUUGCUUGGGCUCUCGGUUGGCGCGCCGCGUGUCAGGCGGGCUUUGGGUGGGGGUCUCGCACUCCCAUUCGGGUUCGUCCCGCGCGGUUUUGCCUUCCGAUCCUGCUCUGUCCGGAGUGGCCUAGCGCGCGUGCUGUCGGCAAGUACCAUGAGCAGACAUGUUGGGACCCGAAAGAUGGUGAACUAUGCCUGGCCAGGAUGAAGCCAGAGGAAACUCUGGUGGA